rnacentral:rRNA from 1 species
UACAGAGGUCUCAAGCGUUGUUCGGAUUCAUUGGGCGUAAAGCGCACGUAGGCGGAUGUGUCAGUCAGGGGUGAAAUCCCGGAGCUCAACUUCGGAACUGCCCUUGAUACAGCACAUCUGGAGUCCGGAAGAGGUGGGUGGAAUUCCUAGUGUAGAGGUGAAAUUCGUAGAUAUUAGGAAGAACACCGGUGGCGAAGGCGGCCCACUGGUCCGGUACUGACGCUGAGGUGCGAAAGCGUGGGGAGCAAACAGG